GACGUAGGCUGCAAGCGUUGUUCGGAUUUAUUGGGCGUAAAGCGAGCGUAGGUGGCUAGUUAAGUCUGGUGUUAAAGCUAGGGGCUCAACCCCUGUGAUGCACUGGAAACUGGCUGGCUCGAGGAUGGUAGGGGAAGGUGGAAUUCCGAGUGUAGCGGUGAAAUGCGUAGAUAUUCGGAGGAACACCGGUGGCGAAAGCGACCUUCUGGGCCAUUUCUGACACUGAGGCUCGAAAGCUUGGGGAGCAAACGGG
rnacentral:rRNA from 1 species